rnacentral:rRNA from 1 species
AAAAACAUCGCCUCCCGCAAAAUCCAACGUAUAGGAGGUCCUGCCUGCCCAGUGAACUAGUUUAAACGGCCGCGGUAUCUUGACCGUGCAAAGGUAGCGCAAUCACUUGUCUUUUAAAUGAAGACCUGUAUGAAUGGUGGAACGAGGGCUUAACUGUCUCCCCCCUUAGGUCAGUGAAAUUGAUCUAUCCGUGCAGAAGCGGGUAUAAUUAUACAAGACGAGAAGACCCUUUGGAGCUUAAGACACCAAGACCAAUUAUGUCAAAAAUCUGUUACAAGACAGAUUAAACCUAAUAACACCUGGUCCCAGUCUUCGGUUGGGGCGACCGCGGGGGAAAAUAAAGCCCCCAUGUGGAAUGGGGAAACACCCCAAAACCAAGAGAGACAUCUCCAAGACACAGAACAUCUGACCAUUAUAGAUCCGGCUACAUAGCCGAUCAACGGACCAAGUUACCCUAGGGAUAACAGCGCAAUCCCCUCCCAGAGUCCCUAUCGACAAGGGGGUUUACGACCUCGAUGUUGGAUCAGGACAUCCUAAUGGUGCAGCCGCUAUUAAGGGUUCGUUUGUUCAACGAUUAAAGUCCUACGUGAUCUGAG